CAAAAAAAAUAAAUCUGCGCCCCAUCUCAUCUGAUCUCGGAAGCUAAGCAGGGUCGGGCCUGGUUAGUACUUGGAUGGGAGGCUGCCUUGGAAUACCAGGUACUGU
rnacentral:rRNA from 1 species